GAUGAACGCUGGCGGCGUGCCUAAUACAUGCAAGUCGAGCGAACGGACGAGAAGCUUGCUUCUCUGAUGUUAGCGGCGGACGGGUGAGUAACACGUGGAUAACCUACCUAUAAGACUGGGAUAACUUCGGGAAACCGUAGCUAAUACCGGAUAAUAUUUUGAACCGCAUGGUUCAAAAGUGAAAGACGGUCUUGCUGUCACUUAUAGAUGGAUCCGCGCUGCAUUAGCUAGUUGGUAAGGUAAGGGCUUACCAAGGCAACGAUGCAUAGCCGACCUGAGAGGGUGUCCGGCCACACUGGAACUGGGACACGGUCCAGACUCCUACGGGAGGCAGCAGUAGGGAAUCUUCCGCAAUGGGCGAAAGCCUGACGGAGCAACGCCGCGUGAGUGAUGAAGGUCUUCGGAUCGUAAGACUCUGUUAUUAGGGAAGAACAUAUGUGUAAGUAACUGUGCACAUCUUGACGGUACCUAAUCAGAAAGCCACGGCUAACUACGUG
rnacentral:rRNA from 1 species